CGUGUAGGCGGCCCACUAAGUCUGAUGUGAAAGCCCGAGGCUCACCCUCGGAAGUGCAUUGGAAACUGGUGGACUCGAGUCCCGGAGAGGAGAGUGGAAUUCCUGGUGUAGCGGUGAAAUGCGUAGAUAUCAGGAGGAACACCGGUGGCGAAGGCGGCUCUCUGGACGGUGACUGACGCUGAGACGCGAAAGCGGUGGGGAGCAAACA
rnacentral:rRNA from 1 species